GAUGAACGCUGGCGGCGUGCUUAACACAUGCAAGUCGAACGAAGCACUUUAUUUGAUUUCCUUCGGGACUGAUUAUUUUGUGACUGAGUGGCGGACGGGUGAGUAACGCGUGGGUAACCUGCCUUGUACAGGGGGAUAACAGUUGGAAACGGCUGCUAAUACUGCAUAAGCGCACAGCAUCGCAUGUCGCAGUGUGAAAAACUCCGGUGGUAUAAGAUGGACCCGCGUUGGUUUAUCUAGUUGGUGAGGUAACGGCCCACCAAGGCGACGAUCCAUAGCCGACCUGAGAGGGUGACCGGCCACAUUGGGACUGAGACACGGCCCAAACUCCUACGGAAGGCAGCAGUGGGGAAUAUUGCACAAUGGGCGAAAGCCUGAUGCAGCGACGCCGCGUGAGCGAAGAAGUAUUUCGGUAUGUAAAGCUCUAUCAGCAGGGAAGAUAAUGACGGUACCUGACUAAGAAGCACCGGCUAAAUACGUG
rnacentral:rRNA from 1 species